GACUAACGUUGGCGGCGUGCAUAACACAUGCAAGUCGAGCGGGGUCCAUCCAGUGGCAACACUGGUGAAGACCUAGCGGCGAACGGGUGCGUAACACGUGAGCAACCUGCCCCGAAGUCUGGGAUAACACCGGGAAACCGGUGCUAAUACCGGAUGUCCCCACCGGACCGCAUGGCCUGGUGAGGAAAGAUUUAUCGCUUCGGGAGGGACUCGCGGGCUAUCAGCUUGUUGGUGGGGAACGGCCUACCAAGGCAUCGACGGCUAGCUGGUCUGAGAGGACGACCAGCCACACUGGGACUGAGACACGGCCCAGACACCUACGGGUGGCAGCAGUCGAGAAUUUUUGACAAUGGGGGAAACCCUNAUCGAGCGACGCCGCGUGGAGGAUGAAGGUCUUCGGGUUGUAAACUCCUGUCAUUUGAGAACAAGGUGCACCGGUUAACUGCCGGUGCNUUGAUAGUAUCAGAAGAGGAAGAGACGCUAACUCUGUGCCAGCCGCCGCC
rnacentral:rRNA from 1 species